AUUGAACGCUGGCGGCAGGCCUAACACAUGCAAGUCGAACGGUAACAGGAAACAGCUUGCUGUUUCGCUGACGAGUGGCGGACGGGUGAGUAAUGUCUGGGAAACUGCCUGAUGGAGGGGGAUAACUACUGGAAACGGUAGCUAAUACCGCAUAACGUCGCAAGACCAAAGAGGGGGACCUUCGGGCCUCUUGCCAUCGGAUGUGCCCAGAUGGGAUUAGCUAGUAGGUGGGGUAACGGCUCACCUAGGCGACGAUCCCUAGCUGGUCUGAGAGGAUGACCAGCCACACUGGAACUGAGACACGGUCCAGACUCCUACGGGAGGCAGCAGUGGGGAAUAUUGCGCAAAGGGCGCAAGCCUGAUGCAGCCAUGCCGCGUGUAUGAAGAAGGCCUUCGGGUUGUAAAGUACUUUCAGCGGGGAGGAAGGGAGUAAAGUUAAUACCUUUACUCAUUGACGUUACCCGCAGAAGAAGCACCGGCUAACUCCGUG
rnacentral:rRNA from 1 species